AAAAUGACAGUGAAAAGGAGUAGUAGUAAACAAAUGGUCGGCAGAGAGUUGACGGGUGGUGCGAGUCAACCGAAGUUUGUUUACGAACUCGCCUUGGAGUCGCGUGUGCGAAUGAAGUAGCAUGCGCCGUGAAUCUGCGUUAAUGAUGAAAGUGAGUGCACGGUUCGUGCGCUAACAAGGGUGGUACCGCGGGAGAAUCCUCUCGUCCUUUUU
rfam:Anoxybacillus sp. BCO1 LR68_contig000012, whole genome shotgun sequence.